AUUGAACGCUGGCGGCAGGCCUAACACAUGCAAGUCGAACGAGUGGCGGACGGGUGAGUAAUGUCUGGGAAACUGCCCGAUGGAGGGGGAUAACUACUGGCAACGGUAGCUAAUACCGCAUACCAUCGGAGGUGCCCAGUUGGGAUUAGCUAGUAGGUGGGGUAACGGCUCACCUAGGCGACGAUCCCUAGCUGGUCUGAGAGGAUGCCCAUCCACACUGGAACUGAGACACGGUCCAGACUCGUACGGGAGUAAGCAGUGGGGAAUAGUGCACAAUGGGCGCAAGCCUGAUGCAGCCAUGCCGCGUGUAUGAAGAAGGCCUUCUGGUUGUAAAGUACUUUCAGCGAGGAGGCGUGACUCGCAGAAGAAGCACCGGCUAACUCCGUGCCAGCAGCCGCGGUAAUUC
rnacentral:rRNA from 1 species